GAGCCCCAUCGCCAUGGGAGGUAAGCGGCAACACAACGCACCUCCCAGCCCAGAGCCCGCGACCGCGAGACCAUUCGCGCGCCCCUCUCCAUCCCCGCCCGGGCCCUCGGGAUGUCCUCGUCCUCCGCCGCCGCCUCCGUGCCGGGGGCCACGCCGGCGGACGCCCUCCGCCGCAACCGUAUCAUCUCCAGCAAGCUCUACUUCGACGUGCCGGGCUCCAAGGUCAGUCGUCCGGCCGGGAGAUGCUCCUCCGUUCGCCCCGAAUCCCCGAUCACCCGUUAAUCUGCGGCUGCGACUGCCUGGCAGGCUCCGGUGGUCUACUCGACGGCGUACGACAUCGCCUUCCUCGGAAUCGAGAAGAUGCACCCGUUUGAUUCCUCCAAAUGGGGCCGCAUAUGCAGGUUCCUCACCAAAGAAGGCCACCUGGAGAAGACGCGGGUGGUGGAGCCAUUGGAGGCUUCCAAGGAAGAUCUGCUGGUGGUUCACACGGAGGCGUACUUGAACAGCCUCAGGAGCAGCUUCAGGGUUGCAGCCAUUGUAGAGGUUCCUCCAUUAACGCUCAUGCCUAAUUGGCUCGUGCAGCAAAGGCUACUGUACCCCUUCCGGAAACAGGUGGGUGGGUCCAUUUUAUCAGCUAAACUUGCUCUUGAGAGAGGAUGGGCGAUUAAUGUCGGUGGAGGGUUUCACCAUUGUUCGGCAGAGGAAGGGGGAGGAUUUUGUGCAUAUGCUGAUAUUUCGCUCUCCAUUCAGUUUGCGUUUGUCCGUCUGGAUAUUUCAAGAGUAAUGAUCAUAGAUCUGGAUGCUCACCAAGGAAAUGGUCAUGAGAAGGAUUUUGCUAAUGAUGGAAGGGUUUACAUUUUGGACAUGUACAAUGCUGGAAUUUAUCCAUUUGAUCAUGCUGCUAAGCGAUAUAUUGAUCAGAAAGUCGAGUUAGUUAGUGGGACAGAAACAGAUGAUUACUUGGAUCAGCUUGACAAGGCUCUGAAGGUCGCCCAAACUAGAUUCCAGCCCCAGCUUAUUAUUUAUAAUGCUGGGACCGACAUCCUGGAUGGUGAUCCAUUGGGCAACUUGAAGAUAAGCCCUGAAGGUGUGGUGAUUAGAGAUGAGAAGGUGUUCAGAUUUGCAAAAGAUCAGAACAUUCCACUUGUCAUGAUGACAUCAGGAGGCUACAUGAAGUCGAGCGCACGUGUAAUCGCAGAUUCGAUUACCAAUCUCUCACAGAAGAACUUGGUACAACUAGGUAGCCAGCCAGACUAAAAGAGGAGCCUCUGCCACCCACAAGCUUUCAACCUGAAGGGCACAUCCACUGGAUGUAUAGCGUGUAAGAAGAGGUUUACAGUUCUAUCAUAUUAGCAUGUAUAAAUCACAAAAAAUCUUGUCACCUUGUACAUACCGUCAUAAGGCCUUUGUUUCCAAGAAGAGCAGUGGGGAAGCUGAGAGCGCCAUGAUGACAAGAGAGACAACACCUGGAGAUCGCCGUUGAUCCCCAUCGUCAAACUAUACUAUGUACUACUACGGGUUUCAGUUACUAUUUUCUUGUGGGAAGCCAAUAAAUACUGCUUAAAGAGUUUGCACUAUAGAUCUUGAAGGUUUUCAAGAGAUAUAGCAUGAUGUUCUUUUGUCAUGCCGGCUUUCCUGACAAGACCAUUUUUUG
rnacentral:rRNA from 1 species